rnacentral:rRNA from 1 species
AUUGAACGCUGGCGGCAUGCUUUACACAUGCAAGUCGAACGGCAGCGCGGGCUUCGGCCUGGCGGCGAGUGGCGAACGGGUGAGUAAUACAUCGGAACGUGCCCAGUAGUGGGGGAUAGCUCGGCGAAAGCCGGAUUAAUACCGCAUACGACCUGAGGGCGAAAGCGGGGGAUCUUCGGACCUCGCGCCAUUGGAGCGGCCGAUGGCAGAUUAGCUAGUUGGUGGGGUAAAGGCCUACCAAGGCGACGAUCUGUAGCUGGUCUGAGAGGACGACCAGCCACACUGGGACUGAGACACGGCCCAGACUCCUACGGGAGGCAGCAGUGGGGAAUUUUGGACAAUGGGCGAAAGCCUGAUCCAGCAAUGCCGCGUGUGUGAUGAAGGCCUUCGGGUUGUAAAGCACUUUUGGCGGGAACGAAAAGGACUGUGCCAAUACCACGGUUCGAUGACGGUACCCGCAGAAUAAGCACCGGCUAACUACGUG